AGAAAGGCUGAAAGUUCUCUCCCUAAGGAUGGGAGUAAGUCAGUGAUGCCCACUUUUGCUUUUCAUUUCAAAAUGGUAAUGGAAAUCUGAUAUGGAAAUAGAUAUAUGUCUUGCUUAGACGGUAUAAAAUUCGUUUGCAAUGUGGGAGUCCUGGGUUCAAUCCCUGAGUCAGGAAGAUCCCCUGGAUAAGGAAUGGCAACCCACGCCAGUAUUAUUACCUGGAGAAUGGCGUGGGCAGAAGUCGCUGGUGGGCUACAGUCCCUGGGGUUGCAAAGAAUCUGACAUGAUGGGGCAACUAACACUUUCACUUUCAUAUCAAUAGAAUUGAGAAAUCCAGGCAAUUGAUUUUGAACUUGUAUAUCAAGAUCAUUCAUAAGAGAAAAAGUCUUUUCAGCAAAUGGUCUGGGGAAACCGAAUGCCCACAUGCCACAGAACGAGGGUGGAGCCUUACCUCACAUGAAAGAAAAACUAAUUAUGGAACAAGGACCUAAAUUUAAGACCUAAAAUGGAACCAUCUUAGAAGAAAACAUAGGGAUAAAUCUCAUACCCUUGAUGUGAUAUUUAAUAGAAUGGCUAUUAUACAAGAGACCAAAAAAAAAAAAAAAACAGAAAAAUUGGACUUUAUCAAAAUGAAAACCUUUUGUGAAUGAAAGGGCAAUCUCAAAAGACUAUAAAGAAGACCCAAAUAAUGGUUUAAAAUAUUGGCAAAUAAUAAAUCUUCUAAAGGUCUUAUAUCCAGAAUACAUAAAGGACUUUUACACAAGAGCAUAGACACAGCAUCAUUGCAAAUAAUAGACAUUUCUCCAAAGAAGAUACACAGAUGGCCCGUGAAGCUCAUGGAAGGAUGAUCAGCAUCACCAGGUGUUAGAGAAAUGCAGGCCAGUGCCACAGGGACACACUGCUUCACACCCACUGGGACAGCUGUCAUGCAGUGAACAGUAACAGAUGGUGAGCGAGCCCUGGGGCUGGAGCUGGUGUGGCUGGAGGUCAGCUGUUGGAGCUGAAGGUGUUGCAGAGGUGGAGCCGGCCCAGAGCGGGAGCUGCGGCUGAUGCUGAGAUGCUGCUGGCCCUGCCGAGGGUCUGGCCCGGGAGCAGUGCCUGCACUGGGGCUGAAGCUGGCCCUGUCUCUGGCCGUAGUGUUAGAACCAGCUCUUGACCUGGCUGUGGUGCUGAGGCUGACUCUAGGUCUCUGGUAUUACUCCCAAAUUUGGUGCAAGAACCAGCACCUGCCGAGGCUUCCAUUGUGGAGCCGGUCCCUGUGUUUGGGUGGAAGGGGCUUUGGUUCUGUUGCUGGUGACAGAGCUGACUUUAGUCCAAGUUGGUGCAAAUUGUGGGGCUUUUUUGGCCUUAGCUUUGUAGGGCAAGGCGACCCCGGCCUUCCUGCGUGUAUCAGAUGUGCCUCUACUUACCCAGGGGGCGAACAGUCCUGUGAUGACUCUGGCUCUCUUCCUGGUCCUGGUGCAGACGUUGGCCAGGCUCCAAGCUGCUGCUGUAACUGGUUGUGUCGUGGGUGCCAGUGCCCGGGGGUCUGCUGAAGGUGGCACUACAGCCAGUGACAGAAGUGACAGUCUAGAGCUGCUCUUAGUUCUGCGGCUGUUUUCUGAAGCUGGAUCUAAGUCUCAGAUGGUAAUAGGCCUGGUGCUGGAGCCAGCUCUGCUCUAGAUCUUGAGAUGGCGCUGAAACAGCAAGAAGAGGAAAGACCAGGCACCUGACUGCCCUUCCGUGUGACUUCCCGAAGAGAGACACGUCCUGCAGCCUUCCCCCGCGGUGCAGGGCUGGCUCCCUAAUGGGAGCUGAUACUGGGGCCGGCUCCAAGCCUGGCGGUGGUGUGAGAACUGGUGGGAGAGCUGGUGAUGGAGAUGGCCUUAGCUCUGGAGUUAGAGCCAGAGCUCGCUCUUGUUCUGGAGCUGGUCUGUUUGAGCUGCAGCCGGCUCUAGUCUGAGCUGGCACCAGCUGCAGCUCAAUAGUUGCUGUCAGGGUGGGCACUAGUCUACGGAUGGGGCACGUCCUAGUCCUUCAGGGGACUCUGGCCCUGGACCGGCUCCAGAGCCCGCUCUAGCUCCACAGCUGUGCAAGAUGUUGUGCUGGAGAUGCCCUGGUUCUGCCCCCCCACCUGCAGCUGUGGCUGAGAUGCUGCCCUCGCCUCUCCCCCUGCCCCGUGGCUGUGAGCGCCGAGGAAACAGUGGCAUCUAGGAUAUAAGAUGAUGUGAUAUUUCAGCUGACUGCACCCAGCAGGGAACAGUGCACAGACGCUCAAUGCACGCAAAAGUAAAUGAAUGAACCCAAGCUAUUGCCCCCUCAUUCACAGAUGGACAAAAUCCACAUGAUGAUCCGAACUGAUGUAGAAAAGGGACAGGCAAGAUUCAACACCUUUUCAUGAUAAAAAAAGACAACAAACUAGGAGUAGACGGAAACAACUUCAACACAAUAAAGGCCGUUUCUGAAAAACCCACAUUAACACUGAGUGAUGACAGACUGAAGUAUUUUCUCUAAAAGCGAGAACAAAGCAAUGAUACUGAUUCGCCAUUUGUAUUCAACACAGUCCUGGAAGUCCUAGCAAAGGCAGUCAGGCAUGAAAAGGAAAGGUAUUCAAAUUUGCAGGGGAGAAGUGAAUUGCUUCUGUCGUCACGUGAUGUGACCUUGUGUGGGAGCUCUUAUCUAAGGAUUCCGCCAGAAAAUACUGUAGGACUAAUAAAGUACUUCAGCAAAAUCACUGGACACAAAGCCCGCCCACAAAUGAGCUGCCUUUCUGUAUGCUAACAGUCACAAUCUAAAAUUCAGAGUCCAUGUACGGUGGCAUCAACAGGACAAAACACUGAGGAAGAAAUCUAACCAAGAAAGUGAAAGACUUCUAAAUUAAAGACAAAUAAAUGGGAAGAAACCUCGUGCACAGAUGAGCAGACGGUGUCACUACAGUGUUCGUACUACCACAGGCAGUCCACAGAGUGCAAUCUCCGUCAGUCCCUCUGUGUUUUCUUUGCAGAAAUAGAAAUAUUUAUCUAAAACCCUUUUGCAAUCUCAAGGGAACCUGAGCUGCAGAAACAAAAUUGUAAAGAGCAACAUAGGAGGAUGCCACCUCCUGACUCCAGAACACAUCACAAAUCUUUGUUAAUCAAGGUGGCGUGGCACUGGCAUGACAAUAAGUAGACCAGAGGGACGGCAUAGACAGCCCAUAGGGGAACCCUUGUGUGUGUGUUCAGUUGGCCUUCAGGAGGGAGCCAGGGCACGCAGUGGGGAAAGGACAGUCUCUUCAGCAAAUGAUGUUGGGACAGCUGGAUGUUUAUGUGCGGAAGAACAGAACUGGGCCCUUACACUGUACAAAAAUUCACUCAGAACGGAUUAAAGACCCAGAUGAGAGUCCGAAAUCUACGAAACUCCCAAAAUAAAACGGGCAACGCUCAUGACACUAGAUUGAUAACGAUUUUCUGUAUGUGACUGCAGUCACAGGAAACAUCAGCAACAGAGCAAAUUGACCCACGCCAGAGGAUGUGGCAGUUGAAAAGACAGCCUGCAGAGCGGCAGGAAAUAUUUGAAAGUCAUGUCUCUAACAAUGGGUUAAUAUCCAAAAGGAGUAAAGUACUCGUGCUUGUUGAAAAAUGGGCAGAGGGCUUGAAUAGACAUGUCUUCAAUGGUACACAGAUGGCCACAAGCAUAUGAAAAUGUGCUUAAAUCACUAAUCAUUAGAGCAAUAUAAACCCCAAACACAAAAAGAGAAAAUGUCACACAUCAGAUGAGGCUGACUGCUUAAUUAAAAAUAGAGAAGAUACCAAGUAUUUGCAAAGAUAUGGAGAAACUGGAACUUGCGUGCGCUCUUGAUAUGAUUUUAAAAUGGCAUAACCACUGUGGAAAACAGUAUGGAGAUGACUUAAAAAAAAAACAACUGCUUUGUGAUCCAGUAUUCCAAACUCUGUGUAUAUAUCCAGAAUUGGAAGCAGAGUCUGGAAGAGCAAUUUGCGUGCCAGUAUUUCACAACAGCCAAGGGGUGGAAGCACCCCCGUGUUCAGCAGUGGAUGAGUGGGUAAACAAACGUGGCUGAGUCAUACAGUGAAAUACUAUUCAACCUUAUAAUGAAAUCCUGGCACAUGCUAAUGUCAUAGGUGAAUCUUGAGGACAUUAUGAUAAGUGAAAUAAGCCAUUCACAAGAGAGAAGCACAGUGGAAUCCACUUCUUGGAGGCCUCUAAAGUGGUCUUACUCAUGGAAAUGGAAACUAGAAUGGUGCUUACCAGGAGACUUGGGGCAAGGGAGACGGGGGAGUCUUGUGUGGGGUGUGGAGUUUCCCAUUUGCAAGAUGAAAAGCUCUGGGUGGAGAUUUGUUUCAUAGCAAUGUAAAUGUACUGAGCACUACUGACCUGUGCACUUAACAUGGUUAAGAUGGUAAAUUAAAUGCUAUAUCUUAAAAAAAAAAAAACCCGUACAAUAAAAAGAGAGUAAUUUUAUGUGAAGCUGUUUAAACUGAGCCCAACACAGACUUACUUAUAUGGACAAUUUCAUCAGAAAAAAUUGGACAGAAGAUUUGACUAGGCGUUUCACAAAGAAAAGUCACCAAAUGGUGGUGGUACGCACAUUAUUACUCCUUUAGGUAUACUGCUCUAGGAAAAUGCAGAUUAAAGCCAUAGUGAGAUGUCACCACACGUACGCCAGAGUGGUUGAGGUGGAAACAUCCUGCAGCGCUGGCGAGGACGUGGGCAGCUCAGGCCUCUCACUCAUGGCUGUUUGAGUAGAAAUUGUUCAGUCCCCUUUCUGAGGUUUUGUUGAUAGGAAUGGAUUCCCCAGUGGCUUAGUCAGGAAAGAAUCUGCCUGCAGUGCAGGAGACUGUGAUGUGGGAGACGUGGAUUUGAUUCCUGGCUUGGGAAGAUCCCUGGAGAAGGAAAUGGCAAACCACUCCAGUAUUCUUCCCUGGGAAAUCCCAUGGACAUAGGAGCCUGGCGGGCUACAGUCCAAGGAGUCUCAAGAGUCAUGCACGACUUAUCAACUAAACCAUCAUCACCACCACCAUUGAUAGGGAUAGAGUAGGAUAAUUAAAUAGUCAGUUUAGAAAUCCCACUACGGGAUUAAAGAUAGAACAGAAAUUUUAAGGGAGUUUGGGAGGCUGUUGUAAGCUAAUAACCACUCAAGAAGAGAAUCCAGUAACCUAGUGACAAUCUGCGCUACUUUGAAGGAAGACAGGUGCAUCUAAGCACUAGGAACACUCACGCCUCGAGCCAGGUAGUUAAAGCACAAGACAUGAGAUUCGGGGUUUCUGAAUCCUGUUCCAUGAAGUCAGGGAGUUAAUAGUUCUUGGAGGGUAGCGUUUCUACAUGUAGCCAAGACAGAAAUGUAGGUGGGAGGGGACGGUGUCCUGAAAGCUGAUGCGUUGCCGUGUUUUAGCGCUGCCAUCCUUGUGCUAACUGUACAUGUGAUUUGAACAGUGCCGUGACAGUCUGGGCUAGACCCUGUAGGGUCAGAAGAGGAGCUAAUGAUGUAAGCCUUGAAGUCUGCCAAUGAGGAAGAAGGUGGGGGUCUCCCCUGCCCACUUUUGUUUACAAAAAUAAAGCCCUCUCAGUCCUCAAGGCAGGGCCUGCUCACCUGCCCACUUGUAUCUCUCACAAGCGCGGAUGCUCAUAAACUCACUCUUUGCCU
ensembl:lncRNA